CCCAAGAGAUCGGGAUAACACCUGGAAACAGAUGCUAAUACCGGAUAACAACAGAUGAUGCCUAUCAACUGUUUAAAAGAUGGUUCUGCUAUCACUNCUUGGAUGGACCUGCGGUGCAUUAGCUAGUUGGUAGGGUAACGGCCUACCAAGGCGAUGAUGCAUAGCCGAGUUGAGAGACUGAUCGGCCACAUUGGGACUGAGACACGGCCCAAACUCCUACGGGAGGCAGCAGCC
rnacentral:rRNA from 1 species